GUGGGGAAUUUUGGACAAUGGGGGCAACCCUGAUCCAGCCAUGCCGCGUGCAGGAUGAAGGCCUUCGGGUUGUAAACUGCUUUUGUUAGGAACGAAACGGUGGAUGUUAAUACCAUCUACUAAUGACGGUACCUAAAGAAUAAGCACCGGCUAACUACGUGCCAGCAGCCGCGGUAAUACGUAGGGUGCAAGCGUUAAUCGGAAUUACUGGGCGUAAAGCGUGCGCAGGCGGCUUGAUAAGACAGGUGUGAAAUCCCCGAGCUCAACUUGGGAAUAGCACUUGUGACUGUCAGGCUAGAGUAUGUCAGAGGGAGGUGGAAUUCCAAGUGUAGCAGUGAAAUGCGUAGAUAUUUGGAAGAACACCGAUGGCGAAGGCAGCCUCCUGGGAUAAUACUGACGCUCAUGCACGAAAGCGUGGGGAGCAAACAGGAUUAGAAACCCCAGUAGUCC
rnacentral:rRNA from 1 species